UUGGUCAUGAAUUAAUGUUUGUACAGAGUGUCCGGAGGGUGAACGCUGGUUCUGGAGUGAGUCCGGAUCGGGGCGAGUGUGUAAGAGGGGAAGUUUGGACCUUACAGCCCUGAACCGCUCAAAUGCAUGGGCCCCAGGGCCACAGAGGGCUGCGUGUGUGAGGAGGGCCAGUGUGUGAUUCCAGCACUGUGUCAGUGUGAAGAGGAAGACGGGACGCUUCGAGAGGGCGAAGGGAAGGUUCUGGAAGCGGAGAGCUGCUGUCCCGUGUGCCACAGAGAGUAUCCAGGUCUAGCCGUGUAACUACAUUCAAAGUAGGAUCCGGUUGCUGAGUGCCUCCUUACUCUGAGGUCAGGAACAUCACCAAGGGCGACUGUCGCCUGGACAACGUGGGGGUCAGCUUCUGCAGAGGGCGCUGUUUGUCCCGGACCGAUGUCAGUCUGGAGGAGCCGUAUCUUCAGGUGUUCUCUGACUGCUGCAGCUAAGGCUGGACCCGCAGAACCCGUGCUCUUCCUCAGCUUACAGUGCGCCAGCGGAGACGUCGAGCCCGUCGUUCACAGCUGCGAGUGCACAGCUGCCAGGGUGGGCAAUGCCAGAGGAAACAGCCUCAAACAUCGUUCUGUGUCUCUGACAUCAGGGGAUGAAUCUCCUCUCCGCUUUGUUUGGAAAGAUUAACACACAGCAGUUUAUGAGGACAAAGAGAAGUCAAAACAAAAAUAAACGAUAUUAGGCAGAAUGUCCGAGCCUCUGUUUUCCAUUCAGUGAAAGAGAAUGGUGAUGUAUACUGUUAAGCUCCAAAAAGGACCAAAAACAUCAUUAUAGUACCAUAAAAAACACAAAAUUUUAUUUAUAUAAAAUAUAUA